rnacentral:rRNA from 1 species
GACGAACGCUGGCGGCGUGCUUAACACAUGCAAGUCGAACGAUGAACCCGGAGCUUGCUCCGGCGGAUUAGUGGCGAACGGGUGAGUAACACGUGAGUAACCUGCCCUUGACUCUGGGAUAACUGCUAGAAAUGGUAGCUAAUACCGGAUACGACCCUCGGUGGCAUCACCAGGGGGUGGAAAGAAUUUCGGUCAAGGAUGGACUCGCGGCCUAUCAGCUAGUUGGUGAGGUAACGGCUCACCAAGGCGACGACGGGUAGCCGGCCUGAGAGGGUGACCGGCCACACUGGGACUGAGACACGGCCCAGACUCCUACGGGAGGCAGCAGUGGGGAAUAUUGCACAAUGGGCGCAAGCCUGAUGCAGCAACGCCGCGUGAGGGAUGACGGCCUUCGGGUUGUAAACCUCUUUUAGUAGGGAAGAAGCGAAAGUGACGGUGCCUGCAGAAAAAGCACCGGCUAACUACGUGCCAGCAGCCGCAGUAA